AUAGACCCACUAGCUUAUGACGGGUAUGGCCCUUGAGAGAGGGUGCCCAGAGAUGGACUCUGAGACACGAGUCCAGGCCCUACGGGGCGCAGCAGUCGCGAAAACUUCACACUGGGGGCAACCCCGAUGAGGGGAUUCCAAGUGCUAGCACAUAGUGUUAGCUGUUCUCUUGUCUAAAUAACAAGAGAAGUAAGGGCUGGGUAAGACGGGUGCCAGCCGCCGCGGUAAUACCCGCAGCCCGAGUGGUGGUCGAUAUUAUUGAGCCUAAAACGUCCGUAGCCGGUCUUGUAAAUCCUUGGGUAAAUCGGCCAGCUUAACUGUCCGAAUUCUGAGGAGACUGCGAGACUUGGGACCGGGAGAGGUCAGAGGUACUUCUGGGGUAGGGGUAAAAUCCUGUAAUCCUGGAAGGACCACCGGUGGCGAAGGCGUCUGACUAGAACGGAUCCGACGGUGAGGGACGAAGCCCUGGGGCGCAAACGGGAUUAGAUACCCCGGUAGUCCAGGGUGUAAACGCUGCGGGCUUGGUGUUGGGGGUCCUUCGAGGGCGCCCAGUGCCGUAGAGAAGUUGUUAAGCCUGCUGCUUGGGAAGUACGUCCGCAAGGAUGAAACUUAAAGGAAU
rnacentral:rRNA from 1 species